UACGUAGGGUGCGAGCGUUGUCCGGAAUUAUUGGGCGUAAAGAGCUCGUAGGCGGUGUGUCGCGUCGGUCGUGAAAACUUGGGGCUUAACCCUGAGCUUGCGGUCGAUACGGGCAUCACUGGAGUUCGGCAGGGGAGACUGGAAUUCCUGGUGUAGCGGUGAAAUGCGCAGAUAUCGGGAGGAACACCGGUGGCGAAGGCGGUUCUCUGGGCCUUACCUGACGCUGAGGAGCGAAAGCGUGGGGAGCGAACAGG
rnacentral:rRNA from 1 species